CGGUGGAUGCCCUGGCAGUCAGAGGCGAUGAAGGACGUGCUAAUCUGCGAUAAGCGUCGGUAAGGUGAUAUGAACCGUUAUAACCGGCGAUUUCCGAAUGGGGAAACCCAGUGUGAUUCGUCACACUAUCAUUAACUGAAUCCAUAGGUUAAUGAGGCGAACCGGGGGAACUGAAACAUCUAAGUACCCCGAGGAAAAGAAAUCAACCGAGAUUCCCCCAGUAGCGGCGAGCGAACGGGGAGCAGCCCAGAGCCUGAAUCAGUGUGUGUGUUAGUGGAAGCGUCUGGAAAGGCGUGCGAUACAGGGUGACAGCCCCGUACACAAAAAUGCACAUACUGUGAGCUCGAUGAGUAGGGCGGGACACGUGGUAUCCUGUCUGAAUAUGGGGGGACCAUCCUCCAAGGCUAAAUACUCCUGACUGACCGAUAGUGAACCAGUACCGUGAGGGAAAGGCGAAAAGAACCCCGGCGAGGGGAGUGAAAAAGAACCUGAAACCGUGUACGUACAAGCAGUGGGAGCACGCUUAGGCGUGUGACUGCGUACCUUUUGUAUAAUGGGUCAGCGACUUAUAUUCUGUAGCAAGGUUAACCGAAUAGGGGAGCCGAAGGGAAACCGAGUCUUAACUGGGCGUUAAGUUGCAGGGUAUAGACCCGAAACCCGGUGAUCUAGCCAUGGGCAGGUUGAAGGUUGGGUAACACUAACUGGAGGACCGAACCGACUAAUGUUGAAAAAUUAGCGGAUGACUUGUGGCUGGGGGUGAAAGGCCAAUCAAACCGGGAGAUAGCUGGUUCUCCCCGAAAGCUAUUUAGGUAGCGCCUCGUGAAUUCAUCUCCGGGGGUAGAGCACUGUUUCGGCAAGGGGGUCAUCCCGACUUACCAACCCGAUGCAAACUGCGAAUACCGGAGAAUGUUAUCACGGGAGACACACGGCGGGUGCUAACGUCCGUCGUGAAGAGGGAAACAACCCAGACCGCCAGCUAAGGUCCCAAAGUCAUGGUUAAGUGGGAAACGAUGUGGGAAGGCCCAGACAGCCAGGAUGUUGGCUUAGAAGCAGCCAUCAUUUAAAGAAAGCGUAAUAGCUCACUGGUCGAGUCGGCCUGCGCGGAAGAUGUAACGGGGCUAAACCAUGCACCGAAGCUGCGGCAGCGACGCUUAUGCGUUGUUGGGUAGGGGAGCGUUCUGUAAGCCUGUGAAGGUGUGCUGUGAGGUAUGCUGGAGGUAUCAGAAGUGCGAAUGCUGACAUAAGUAACGAUAAAGCGGGUGAAAAGCCCGCUCGCCGGAAGACCAAGGGUUCCUGUCCAACGUUAAUCGGGGCAGGGUGAGUCGACCCCUAAGGCGAGGCCGAAAGGCGUAGUCGAUGGGAAACAGGUUAAUAUUCCUGUACUUGGUGUUACUGCGAAGGGGGGACGGAGAAGGCUAUGUUGGCCGGGCGACGGUUGUCCCGGUUUAAGCGUGUAGGCUGGUUUUCCAGGCAAAUCCGGAAA
rnacentral:rRNA from 1 species